rnacentral:rRNA from 1 species
AACGAACGCUGGCGGCGUGCCUAACACAUGCAAGUCGAACGAGAAAGGGGCUUCGGCUCCGAGUAAAGUGGCGCACGGGUGAGUAACACGUGGGUAACCUGCCUCUAAGAUUGGGAUAACUCGUCGAAAGAUGAGCUAAUACCGAAUAAGACCACAGUUUCUGCGGGGAUAGAGGUCAAAGGUAGCCUCUGCUUGCAAGCUAUCACUUAGAGAUGGGCCUGCGCACCAUUAGCUAGUUGGUAGGGUAACGGCCUACCAAGGCAAAGAUGGUUAGCUGGGCUGGGAGGAUGAUCAGCCACACUGGAACGGAGACACGGUCCAGACUCCUACGGGAGGCAGCAGUGGGGAAUAUUGCGCAAUGGGCGAAAGCCUGACGCAGCAACGCCGCGUGGGUGAUGAAGGCCUUCGGGUCGUAAAGCUCUGUCGGGAGGAACGAAUGCUCCUGAGGUUAACAGCCUCGGGAGGUGACGGUACCUUCAAAGGAAGCACCGGCUAACUCUGUGCCAGCCGCCGCGGUAAAAC